rnacentral:tRNA from 1 species
ACCCUAUUAGCUCAGUUGGUUCUAGAGCGUCAUGCUAAUAACGUAAAUGUAGCAGGCUCGAAACCUGUAUGGGCCA